rnacentral:rRNA from 1 species
GACGAACGCUGGCGGCGUGCUUAACACAUGCAAGUCGAACGGAAAGGCCUCUUUCGGGGGGUACUCGAGUGGCGAACGGGUGAGUAACACGUGAGUAACCUGCCCUUGACUUUGGGAUAACUUCAGGAAACUGGGGCUAAUACCGGAUAGGAGCUCCUGCUGCAUGGUGGGGGUUGGAAAGUUUCGGCGGUUGGGGAUGGACUCGCGGCUUAUCAGCUUGUUGGUGGGGUAGUGGCUUACCAAGGCUUUGACGGGAAGCCGGCCUGAGAGGGUGACCGGCCACAUUGGGACUGAGAGACGGCCCAGACUCCGACGGGAGGCAGCAGGGGGGAAGAUUGCACAAUGGGUGGAAGCCUGAUGCAGCAACGCCGUGUGCGGGAUGACGGCCUUCGGGUUGUAAACCGCUUUCGCUCAUGACGAAGCUUUGUGUGACGGUAGUGGGUAAAGAAGCACCGGCUAACUACGUG